CACAGGCUGCGGUGUAUCCACUGUCAUAGCUUCCUCAGCUCCACUCUCUCCAACUAUUUUCUGCACAUCCACGUAGAAGACCUACUGGACAGCCUGGACAGUGUCGAUGUUGCUGGGCCCAGCACAGGCAGUGUGGUCCCCUGGUCUUCUGGUACCAGUACUGUGGGAAGAUGCUAGGCUUAGCAGAGACAGCUCAGAGGACCUGAGCCCUGGGGACCAUGCCUCAGGACUACCUGCCCUGAUGACUCCUUGCUGUCGCCAGUCCACCUGCUGUCCCCAGUCCACCCCAGUCUACCUGCUGCUGCUCCAGUUUCAACUGUUCGACUGUUCGACUCUUUCUCUCUCUACCGCACCUCCUGUGUCUAACUCUGAAUAGUCAGCUAUGAAAAGCCAACUGAUAUUUACUCCCGAGGUGAUGCACCCUCUACAACCACUGUGAUUAUUAUUAUUUGACCCUGCUGGUCGUCUAUGAAUGUUUGAACAUCUUGGCCAUGUACUGUUAUAAUCUCCACCCUGCACAGCCAGAAGAGGACCGGCCACCCCUCAGAGCCUGGUUCCUCUCUAGGUUUCUUCCUAGGUUCCUGCCUUUCAAGGGAGUUUUUCCUAGUACUGUGCUUCUACAUCUGCAUUGCUUGCUGUUUGGGGUUUUAGGCUGGGUUUCUGUACUGCACUUUGUGACAUAGGCUGAUGUACAAAGGGCUUUAUAAAUACAUUUGAUUGAUUGAUUGAUGCUUGAUAGUGUUAUCAGACCAUCUCAUGCCUCUUCCUCCUCCUACAUAAACAGAGAACAGAGAACACAAAAGCUGGCUGAUGAUCAACAGAAUCCACACAGAGAUGAAUUAGAGAUGAAUAAAGGCCAUAGAACAGAACUGUAAUGUUUUUGUUUUCUUUAAUUCAGGAUUUAGAUGUGUUCGGUCACUGGCAUUAAAUAAAUAAUUUACUGUGACAAGAUCUGCUUAUAGGCUGGAGGUUUUUUGUUGUCAGGGGUUUGAAUGGACUCGGUGUACUUUCUCU
ensembl:lncRNA